UACGUAGGGUGCGAGCGUUAAUCGGAUUUACUGGGCGUAAAGGGGGCGUAGGCGGCCGUGAAAGUCCGGUGUGAAAACUCACGGCUCAACCGUGGGACUGCGCUGGAAACUACACGGCUUGAGGACGGUAGAGGGAGACGGAACUGCUGGUGUAGGGGUGAAAUCCGUAGAUAUCAGCAGGAACGCCGGUGGAGAAGUCGGUCUCCUGGGCCGCUCCUGACGCUGAGGCCCGAAAGCUAGGGGAGCAAACCGG
rnacentral:rRNA from 1 species